GGCGGACGGGUGAGUAACACGUGAGAAUUUACCUUUAGGAGGGGGAUAACAAUUGGAAACGAUUGCUAAUACCCCAUAUGCUUUUGAGUGAAAUGGAUUUAUAUUUAUCCGCCUAGAGAGAAGCCCGCGGCUGAUUAGCUUGUUGGUAAGGUAAGAGCUUACCAAGGCGACGAUCAGUAUCUGGUUUGAGAGGACGAUCAGACACACUGGAACUGAGACACGGUCCAG
rnacentral:rRNA from 1 species